GUAGUAGACCUUACAGUGAAAUGCUGAAUACAACAGGUAUAGUAGACCUUACAGUGAAAUGCUGAAUACAACAGGUGUAGUAGACCUUACAGUGAAAUGCUGAAUACAACAGGUGUAGUAGACCUUACAGUGAAAUGCUGAAUACAACAGGUAUAGUAGACCUUACAGUGAAAUGCUGAAUACAACAGGUGUAGUAGACCUUACAGUGAAAUGCUGAAUACAACAGGUGUAGUAGACCUUACAGUGAAAUGCUGAAUACAACAGGUGUAGUAGACCUCACAGUGAAAUGCUGAAUACAACAGGUGUAGUAGACCUCACAGUGAAAUGCUGAAUACAACAGGUGUAGUAGACCUCACAGUGAAAUGCUGAAUACAACAGGUGUAGUAGACCUCACAGUGAAAUGCUGAAUACAACAGGUGUAGUAGACCUCACAGUGAAAUGCUGAAUACAACAGGUGUAGUAGACCUCACAGUGAAAUGCUGAAUACAACAGGUGUAGUAGACCUUACAGUGAAAUGCUGAAUACAACAGGUGUAGUAGACCUUACAGUGAAAUGCUGAAUACAACAGGUGUAGUAGACCUUACAGUGAAAUGCUGAAUACAACAGGUAUAGUAGACCUUACAGUGAAAUGCUGAAUACAACAGGUGUAGUAGACCUCACAGUGAAAUGCUGAAUACAACAGGUGUAGUAGACCUUACAGUGAAAUGCUGAAUACAACAGGUGUAGUAGACCUUACAGUGAAAUGCUGAAUACAACAGGUGUAGUAGACCUUACAGUGAAAUGCUGAAUACAGCAGGUGUAGUAGACCUAACAGUGAAAUGCUGAAU